rnacentral:rRNA from 1 species
AUUGAACGCUGGCGGCAGGCUUAACACAUGCAAGUCGAGCGAGCGGCGGACGGGUGAGUCAUGUCUGGGAAACUGCCCGAUGGAGGGGGAUAACUAAUGGAAACGGUAGCUAAUACCGCAUACCAUCAGAUGUGCCCAGAUGGGAGUAGCUAGUAGGGGGGGUAACGGCUCACCUAGGCGACGACCCCUAGCUGGUCCGAGAGGAUGACCAGCCACACGGGAACUGAGACACGGUCCAGACGCCUACGGGAGGCGGCAGUGGGGAAUAUUGCACAAGGGGCGCAAGCCGGAUGCAGCCAUGCCGCGUGUGUGAAGAAGGCCUUCGGGUUGUAAAGCACUUUCAGCGAGGAGGCGUUACUCGCAGAAGAAGCACCGGCUAACUCCGUGCCAGCAGCCGCGGUAAUUC